AUAUGGCUAGUUCGCUAUAUUCACUAUUCAAUGUCAUUCGCCCCUUACCGCUGGUUCAUUCAAAGAUAUUCGGUUUGUUUCUUCACAAACUCGAACGCGAGCGGCCGCCGGUCACAAUUUCUGGUAUCGACUCCGGCGACGAUUCAGGUUCCAUCCUUCCUUCUAUUGCCCGGUCUCAAAUUACAACUCUUUAGCUACCAAUUGGUAUUAUGGGUUUCCCGCCACCGUGAACUUGAUCAGGAACAAUUGAAUUGAAUAUUAAGUUAGAUUUUGGAUUUGUGUUCUGUCUGCUUAAGAUGCUUUCUGCGAGGAAAUUCAGCCACGGGAGAGCUUCAGUUUGCCCUUGUGUUUUAUAUGUUGUACAAGCAUCGUAUGCUAGUUUAAGUUUAGCUGGGUUGUUUGAAUCUCAGGUUCGAGCUUAUUCAAAUGUUGUGUAUGUUUCUGGCUCUGUUACUUCUUAUUGUUUGGCCAAGCCCAUUGUGCAAGAUUGUAUUUUGGGAUUACCCAAAAAGUCUAUAUCUGAAGUCGGUUCAUUUUCGACUAUGGCUGGAACAAUCUUGGUCCAGGCUCGAGACCCGGCUAAGUUAAAUGUGGAGAUACAAAAUGCAGUUGAUGAGCAUAGACUAAAUGAUGCGUGGAAGUUUUAUGAGCAGUAUAUGCAGAUGGAUGGGUUUCCUAGGAAAUCUGUUGUUAAUAAGCUUUUAGCGGGUUUUGUAGAAAGCUCUGAUGUUCAGUGGCUUGAGAAGGCUUAUGGGUUGGUGGAGCAGGCUAUUGGGGAAAGCAAACAGAACUUGUUGGAGAGAAACACGCUGAUUUAUGUUUCUUUUGGUCUUGCGAGAGCUGGGUUACCAGUUCCUGCGUCGACUGUUUUGAGAAGAAUGGUAGAAAUGGAAGAAUACCCUCCUGUUGCGGCUUGGUCUGCUGUCUUGGCCUACAUGUCCCAAACAGCUCAAGGGGCUUAUGUUGCUGCUGAGUUGAUUCUUGAGAUAGGUUACUUGUUCCAAGAUCACAGGAUCGACCCACGUAAGAAGUGUAAUGCACCUCUGAUUGCUAUGAAGCCUAAUACUACUGCUUUCAACAUUGCUUUGGCUGGUUGUCUCUUGUUUGGAACAACUAAGAAAGCAGAGCAGCUCCUUGACAUGUUGCCUCGAGUUGGUAUCAAAACGGAUGCUAACUUAUUGAUAUUAAUGGCACAAAUAUACGAGAGAAAUGGACGGAGAGAUGAGCUUAGAAAACUUCAAAGAUACGUAGAUGAAGCCCAUAACCUAAGUGAUGUCCAUUUUCGCCAGUUCUACAAUUGCUUGCUGGCAUGCCAUUUGAAAUUCGGGGAUUUAGACGCUGCAUCUAACAUGGUUUUGGAAAUGCUGCGGAAAGCCAAAGAAGCAAGAGGUUCUCUUGCUGUAGCAACGCUGGUAUUCGAUGCUGCUGGAAGGGGAAACAAAUUCCCUCAUGGAGUUAAUUCUGGAUCCUGGCUUUCAAGCCAUGGAGAAUCAUCUGCUUAUGGAGACAAUAGGUUACCCGGUAAUCUUGUAUUAUCUUAUGAAGAGUUUUCUAGGGAUAGAAAUUUCUUGAGACUUGAGGGUGAGGCUAAGGAAGUGCUGGGUGCAUUGUUAGCUAAAUUGCAGAGCCAAGUUGAAUUGGUAACAACUGACCGUGGUAUCCUCCAGCCAACUGAAAAAAUAUUUGCGAAAUUAGUCAAGGCCUUUCUGGAAGCAGACAAAACCAAGGAUUUGGCUGCCUUUCUUAUAAAGGCAGAUAAAGAAGAUUCCCCAGCUUCCAAUGAUGAUUCAGCCUUGGUUCAUGUCAUUAAUUCAUGCAUAUCUCUUGAAUGGUUAGACAAGGCACAUGACCUUCUUGAUGAAAUGUGCUUGGCUGGUGUAAGAACUGGUUCUUCUGUAUACGCCGCUCUUUUAAAAGCAUAUUGUGAAGCAAACCAAGCAGGAAAUGCAGCAUCACUAUUAAGAGAUGCUCGUAAGGCUGGUAUCCAGCUAGAUGCAAGCAGUUAUGAGGCACUGAUCCGAUCGAAGGUGCUUCAAAAUGAUACACAGGGAGCUCUUCAUUUCUACGCAGAGAUGAAAGAGGCUAAGAUUCCAAAAGCCGGUCAUCAGGAGUUUGAGAGGUUGGUGAAGGAAUGUGCAGAGGGUUGUGAACCGAGGUUGAUGGUAAAGCUGUUGCAGGAAAUAAAGGAAGCGCAGGUGACGUUGGAUUCUGCGGUUCAUGACUGGAACAAUGUAAUCCACUUUUUCUGCAGGAAGAGAUUGAUGCAAGAUGCUGAGAAGGCUCUGAAAAAGAUGAGAAGUCUGGGGCAUGCCCCAAAUGCUCAAACUUUCCAUUCUAUGGUUACUGGGUAUGCUGCUGUAGGAGGAAAGUAUAUAGAGGUAACAGAGCUGUGGGGAGAGAUGAAGUCUCUAGCAUAUAACACCUCAAUGAAAUUUGAUCAGGAACUCCUGGAUUCUGUUCUUUACACUUUCGUUAGGGGUGGGUUUUUCAGUAGAGCAAAUGAAGUAUUGGACAUGAUGGAGAAAGCGAAGAUGUUCAUUGACAAGUACAAGUACAGAACACUCUUCUUGAAGUACCAUAAAACACUUCACAAAGGCAAAGCUCCCAAAUUCCAGACAGAAUCCCAACAUAAAAAGAGAGAAGCAGCAUUAGCAUUUAAGAACUGGAUAGGAGUGUGCUGAGUGAACUGUCUUUGUAUUAUCUGCUUCAUGCAUUCCAUUCCGUGGCUUGAAUCCGAGGAACUUGAUGCUAAAAAAAUCUGGGAAAGAGGAUGUUGAUCGACCGUUCUAGCCCAUUAUCUUGAUGUAGUAGUAAUACAGAGAUUUACUUGGUUUAUGAGGCAAGUAUACUAAUUUUCAGAAGCAGGUCUAUGGUUGUGACCGGGACUGAUCUCGGAAUUGUUGUGCUGCAGAUAUCAAAAUAUAUAGAAGUUUGUUAUGGGCCAAAAAUGGUGUAAUUCAGAUGAAGGAAAUAAUUGCCACCAACAAUUUAGAGCAUCUGAGAGCUUGAGAUGAUGCAAUCUGAUAAUAGAGAAGAGACCGCUGAUUAUAGAAAGAACAGCAUAAAAACAGAUGACUAUGAGUAAGUUGCUCCACAUGGGGAUUCUUUCAGUACGCAAUUGUGUUUGAUCAGUAAUAAAUCAAACCCAACUUAAAUUUCUGGGGAAAGGUAUGGACUGUGUUUUGACUUGUUGGUACCUGAAGGAUGGCAUCGUUUGUACCAUGUCAACUCAAAAACAUUUUGUUUCAUUUGAGGGUUGAUACACAAGCUACCAAAACAGCAACAUAGUUGCAGACUAUUUCAACGUUAUUUCAUGUAUUUUCUAUUUGAGCAUCGGUGCCACAUUUAGGACGAUG